rnacentral:tRNA from 1 species
GAGGUUGUAGCUCAGUGGUAGAGUGCUUGCCUUGCACGGAUGAGGCCCUGGGUUUGAUCCUCAGCACCACA